UGGGGAAUUUUGGACAAUGGGCGAAAGCCUGAUCCAGCAAUGCCGCGUGUGUGAAGAAGGCCUUCGGGUUGUAAAGCACUUUUGUCCGGAAAGAAAUCCUUGGCUCUAAUACAGUCGGGGGAUGACGGUACCGGAAGAAUAAGCACCGGCUAACUACGUGCCAGCAGCCGCAGUAAUACGUAGGGUGCAAGCGUUAAUCGGAAUUACUGGGCGUAAAGCGUGCGCAGGCGGUUUGCUAAGACCGAUGUGAAAUCCCCGGGCUCAACCUGGGAACUGCAUUGGUGACUGGCAGGCUAGAGUAUGGCAGAGGGGGGUAGAAUUCCACGUGUAGCAGUGAAAUGCGUAGAGAUGUGGAGGAAUACCGAUGGCGAAGGCAGCCCCCUGGGCCAAUACUGACGCUCAUGCACGAAAGCGUGGGGGAGCAAACAGGAUUAGAUACCCUGGUAGUCCACGCCCUAAACGAUGUCAACUAGUUGUUGGGGAUUCAUUUCCUUAGUAACGUAGCUAACGCGUGAAGUUGACCGCCUGGGGAGUACGGUCGCAAGAUUAAAACUUAAAUGAAUUGACGGGGU
rnacentral:rRNA from 1 species